GGCAACAUACUGAGUAUUGAACUUUAUCGGAGGGAAUACACAAUAUCAUUUACAGAAUUAAGAAAAGUGGCAAUCUUUAUGUCUUCAAUUACCCAGGUGUGUCCGUGAGAAUUUUUAAGUCCUAGAUACUCACCUGUGUUCAUAUGGUAAAUUCUUUUCUUUCGGAGGAACACAUUUCCACAGAUUGUCAAAAACAUGAUGAAAAGUUGGAAUACCAAUAUGUAUU